AGAAUCAACGCUGGCGGCGUGCCUAACACAUGCAAGUCGCACGAGAAAGGGGAGCAAUCCCUGAGUAAAGUGGCGCACGGGUGAGUAACACGUGAAUAAUCUACCUCCGAGUGGGGAAUAACUGAGAGAAAUCUUAGCUAAUACCGCAUAACACUUACGAGUCAAAGCAGCAAUGCGCUUGGAGAGGAGUUCGCGGCCGAUUAGUUAGUUGGCGGGGUAAUGGCCCACCAAGACGAUGAUCGGUAUCCGGCCUGAGAGGGCGCACGGACACACUGGAACUGAAACACGGUCCAGACUCCUACGGGAGGCAGCAGUGGGGAAUUUUGCGCAAUGGGGGAAACCCUGACGCAGCAACGCCGCGUGGAGGAUGAAGCCCCUUGGGGUGUAAACUCCUUUCGAUCGGGAAGAUAAUGACGGUACCGAUAUAAGAAGCCCGGCUAACUCGUGCCAGCAGCCGC
rnacentral:rRNA from 1 species